rnacentral:misc_RNA from 1 species
AAGUCGUAACAAGGUAACCGUAGGUGAACCUGCGGUUGGAUCAUUAAAGUGAAGUAAUCCGUUUUGACAGCAUUUCUGUGAUAAUCCUGUCACAGAACCCUGCUGGGCGGACUAUUGCCACUCCCCCUUUGUGAAUUUAAAGCCCCCCUCACUUGUUGGCCUGUUUCAAUCUUUAGGGUUGGAAUUUAGCCGACGGGUGGAAGGUGAAAGAAGGAGCAAUCCGACUUUUGCCUUUGCACCCAUUUGUAUCCACUUUUGUGGUAUUGCGUGUUUAAGACUCAUUUGAAGUCGAAUAUUUUAUUUUGUGUCUCCAUGCGGUUCAAUUGAGAAACGCGUAUUUAAUUAUACAACUUUUGACAAUGGAUCUCUUGGCUCUC